GCUUCACCGCUGCUUCUCACUCCGCUGGGAGUUUCCUCCACCCCAACGAGUUCGAGUUCCUCUCCUCUGAUUCCUCUUCCUCUCCGCCUAAGGUUUCCGACCCCGAUCCCAUUACGCGAUACCCGUGAUCUGGAAGCGUUCCGUGGCAGACAGGCGCGGCGCCAUUUCGAGGGGUGGCGAUGGAUUCUGACGAGGGAGGUGCGUCUGUCAGCAACCUAUUCUUUGAGGCGAAGUGGAGAGAAGAGAGUAAGGGCAGGAAUCAUGAUGACGGUGACCGGAAGCGCGGUGAGCACUAUGUUCAUUGUGUUCGUCUGCACUCGCCUAAUCUGCGCCAUGAUGCACCUCAGGGACACCAGAAUGGCUUUCCUUGCCGCCACCAGAUCCGACCUCGGCAUUGUCGGUUCCUACGCUGUCCCUUCCUUUUUGAUUCCUCUCAUUUUCUGUUCUCUAUAACGAGAAAUUCAUGCGCUUUUGUGUUGAAGGCACUGUUUCGAUUUGUUACUUUGCGCUGUAGGGAUAAAGGAGAUCCUUUUCUCUACGAGCUAUGUUGUUCUGUUUAAGUACAUCCUUGUGGUGGAGUGGGCUUGGAUCAAUGCACGCCCGAUUUUCAGCAUUGAUUUCCCUUGAGACAUAAAUGGGGGCUGCAAAGCGUACUUUUUUUUUUCCUUUUAUUGUUUUCUUGUUCUUUUGGUAUCCCUGGGUCUGGGCCGAUGGUCAUGAGUGACGAUAGGAGGGAGGUGUACACGGCCUUGCGUCAUUGGAAAAGUUGUUUUAAUUUUACUGUUUUAUUGGUCCUUUUGAUCAUUUGUUUGCUUUUUCUGGACAAUCAGGAUGCAUGAAAUCUAAUCGAGUUUGAGUGCCUUUUAGCACUGGAAUUACCGAGAAAAGAUUGAUAUUGUACAGCUAGAACAUGGGGUCAAUGGGCUGGAACCAGUUGUGCUUGUUAAUUUUCCAAUAAAGAAAUUUGGUGAUCAGUCCCUUGCAUUGGGCCAGGAGGCACAUUGAGGUGUACCAAGAGACCGAUGUUUUGCUCAUUCUUCCAUCUUGUGGCCAUACAUUCCAUGUUACUUGCAUAGACAUGGCUGAAACAACAUUCAACAUGCCCUGUCUGUAGAAUUUCAUUGCGAGAUUCUCCUGAUAGAGAACAUGCACUGUGACCUCUCUACAGUUCAGCCACCAGAACCUUUUCUCACCCUGAAACCUUUGUUGCAGAUCCAUGCCACUAUCAAUUUGCACAGUCAUGUUACUCUCCAAGGGUAGCAGAAAACCAGAGAACCGUCUCCCCUCACGAAGACCAGUUGAUGUCAUUGCCAUCCGGAUCCAGGUGAUAAUGCCUUCUUGAUCUGUAGCCAACUGCUCCAUAUCAAGCAAAAACAAGAUACAUCAAGAAUCUACAAAAUUCUUUGCCACUCAAAUAACAGGAAAUAGGAUAUUCUUGAGAUUGAUCUCCAUGCCAAAUACAUAGGGAUUGAAGGGAUUUAGAAGCUAACAUCAUAUCUGUACAACUGUUUGUCAUGAGCUGAAUGCUGCUUUUUAUCCGGCAUGAUGUUUGUGGAUCAGUUGUUGGAGAUUGUUGAAAUGGGUGGUUUU